AGAGUUUGAUCAUGGCUCAGGAUGAACGCUGGCGGCGUGGAUAAGGCAUGCAAGUCGAGAGGGUUUAGACCCUCGGCAGACGAGGUAGUAACACGUAGGUACGUACCCCAAAGUCGGGCAUAACUAGUCGAAAGAUUAGAUAAUUCUCGAUAGUCUCUUCGGAGUAAAGAUUUAUCGCUUUGGGAACGGCCUGCGCAGUAUCAGCUAGUUGGUAGGGUAAUGGCCUACCAAGGCUAUGACGCUUAGGGGACCUGAGAGGGUGACCCCCACCGAUGGAACUGAGACACGGUCCAUACACCUACGGGUGGCCGCAGUCGAGAAUCUUCCGCAAUGGACGAAAGUCUGACGGAGCGACGCCGCGUGACUGAUGAAGCCCUUCGGGGCGUAAAGGUCUUUUGGGAGGGAGAAAGUUAUUGAUAGUACCUCCAGAAUAAGAGGUUGCUAAACUCGUGCCAGCAGCAGCGGUAAUACGAGUGCCUCAAGCGUUAUCCGGAAUUAUUGGGCGUAAAGGGUGUGUAGGUGGUCUUAUUAGUCUUUUGUAAAAUUCUUCGGCUCAACCGGGGACUUGCAGAGGAAACGGUAGGACUUGAGGAUGCGAGGGGUUUGCGGAACUCAUAGUGUAGGGGUGAAAUCCGUUGAUAUUAUGGGGAACACCAAAAGCGAAGGCAGCAAACUGGCGCAUUCCUGACACUGAGACACGAAAGCGUGGGUAGCGAAUGGGAUUAGAUACCCUGGUAGUCC
rnacentral:rRNA from 1 species